CAGCAAAACAAUAUUCUAGCAAAUGUGUAGUUGUAGAAAUGCUCAAGUUUUUCUUACCUGCUUUCCCUAUUAUUUUCGAUACAGCUUUGCAGGAACUUCACACCAUCAGUCUAUAUGUGGAGAGAGUGCAUGACCUCGUGAAUUUCCAGAUAAAAAUUCUUCAACAAAAGUCUGAAAAGACAGAAGAAGAAAAAUCCGAUGUGCCAGUGAUUUUAAAAUUAAAGGCAGAGCAAGCAGCUAAUGAAGAGAAGCCUGAAUGCUUAAUGGAAACAGAACCUCUUUGGCAAGCACACGUCAUGUUGCAAAAGAUACAGGAAUCUUUACAGAAACAAGACAGAGAAAUCAGUGAGACCCUUGAAAGUGAAAGAUAUUACAAAACAAUGAAACCUCAAAUCAAGGUGCUAAUGUUCUUGAAAAAUCUUGCCAAGAAGGUUCACACCAUAUAUUGUGAUGUUCCUGAGGCACAACAGUAUAUCAGCCAGCUUAUCAAAAAGAACAAGGAUGAAAGGGCUGAUCAGAAAGAAGCCUUUAAUAAUGCUCAGGCUGACAUUCUGUCUUAUGAAGUAUUUUAUGGAAAUGAACCCAUGGAUGACAAAAGGACAGAGCUGUCAAUGAAGCUUUUCAGAAAUCUUGGGAAAGCAAAAUCUGAAUUUGAAUACAUUGAAACGGAGAAGAUGGUUUUUGAUUGUAUCCGGACAGGGGAAAUCCCCAACUGGAUUAAAAGGGAUUGUCUUUAUGUAGCCUUGGCAGAAGAUCAUAAAAAUAUAUGUUCUGAGGAGACAAGUCACCAUGCAGAGGAACUCAUGCGGAAGUUUGAAAUGGAAAUCAAGGUGGCCAACAAAACAAAGGAACAGUAAGAGACUUGCAAAGAGUGGAACAAGUUUCUAAUUUUAAAGAGGGACACUGAAUAAAAAGCUUGGAGCAUAGAAACA
rnacentral:lncRNA from 1 species